GUCCUGUUGAGUAUGUUUCAGAUGAAUUUGCUCAUUAUUUGCAAUAAAGCAGUCACAAAUAUUUUAUAAUUGAUUUCGUCCGUCUGGCAAGCAUUUGUUUGUGAAUUAGAAUAUUUUGAUAAUAACUGUGAACUUGGUGAAUCUUUCAUUAAAAACACAAUUUCAAUAACUUAGAACUUUCCGUUUUGAAUUUCCUUUGAAGUUCGAUACAAGUAAGUAUGUUAUUGAGUCCACAUCAAUUCGAAAUGUGUCCUUUAUAUUAGUUGUUGCUUGUCGCUAAUAUGUGUCUGUUUGAACGGUGUUUUUUUUUUAUUGAAACAACCGUUUAAUUGGUGGAUUGGUGAUUGCGUUACGCUGCAUCAGCACAAAAAAAAAGCUAUAUCGAAGCAGUUGAAAAUAGAAGACAAACAACGAAAUUGCACAAUUACACAAAGAAGUAAAAUUGAAGUUUUGAAAGCAAGUUUUGAUCAACUUUUUAAAUGUAAAUCUGUCCAAAUAUCAUAUUUCUUUUAUUUCUUAUAUAAAACAUGUUAAAGAUCAAACAUACUUAUGAGUUUGAUUAUCCCCUUUGGUAUCUCUUAUAUGGUAUUAGAAUAGAUUUUGUCAUAGAAAAUUCUGCAGAAUGUUAUAUUAAACCGUUUGAUAUGGGGCUGAUAUCAUACAUAAAAAAAGAUGUCCGAAACUGGAAAAAAUCUAAUCUAUUAACAUUUUUCAAAACAUUAUUCAUUUAUAUAUGUUUGAUCAUUCUAUAGUUAUUAAUAAUAACAUUAAAAUAUCAAAAACAAAAGUAACAAAAAUAUGAGGUAAAAAGGAAAGUCCUUAAUAAAAACGCAAAAUCAAAAGCUGAAACACAUUACAUGAAUGGAUAACAACUGUCAUUUUCCUAUCAGUUUAUUUGAACCGAAUAUUUUUUACCUUCGCCUUUU
rnacentral:lncRNA from 1 species